rnacentral:rRNA from 1 species
UUUUAUUUGAGAGUUUUAUCCUGGCUCAUGAUGAACGCUGGCGGCGUGCCUAACACAUGCAAGUUGAGCGCUUUACUUCGGUAAAGAGCGGCGGACGGGUGAGUAACGCGUGGGUAACCUACCCUGUACACACGGAUAACAUACCGAAAGGUAUGCUAAUACGGGAUAAUAUAUUUGAGAGGCAUCUCUUGAAUAUCAAAGGUGAGCCAGUACAGGAUGGACCCGCGUCUGAUUAGCUAGUUGGUAAGGUAACGGCUUACCAAGGCGACGAUCAGUAGCCGACCUGAGAGGGUGAUCGGCCACAUUGGAACUGAGACACGGUCCAAACCCCUACGGGAGGCAGCAGUGGGGAAUAUUGCACAAUGGGCGAAAGCCUGAUGCAGCAACGCCGCGUGAGUGAUGAAGGCCUUCGGGUCGUAAAACUCUGUCCUCAAGGAAGAUAAUGACGGUACUUGAGGAGGAAGCCCCGGCUAACUACGUGCCAGCAGCCGCGGUAAUACGUAGGGGGCUAGCGUUAUCCGGAUUUACUGGGCGUAAAGGGUGCGUAGGCGGUCUUUCAAGUCAGGAGUGAAAGGCUACGGCUCAACCGUAGUAAGCUCUUGAAACUGGGAGACUUGAGUGCAGGAGAGGAGAGUGGAAUUCCUAGUGUAGCGGUGAAAUGCGUAGAUAUUAGGAGGAACACCAGUUGCGAAGGCGGCUCUCUGGACUGUAACUGACGCUGAGGCACGAAAGCGUGGGGAGCAAACAGGAUUAGAUACCCUG